rnacentral:tRNA from 1 species
GCCAAGGUGGCGGAAUAGGUAGACGCACGGGACUCAAAAUCCCGCGAUGCUUGCAUUGUGCCGGUUCGAUUCCGGCCCUUGGUACCA